rnacentral:rRNA from 1 species
UACGUAGGGGGGCAAGCGUUGUCCGGAAUCAUUGGGCGUAAAGAGCGUGUAGGCGGCCAGAUAAGUCCGCUGUGAAAUCUCGAGGCUCAACUUCGAGCUGUCGGUGGAAACUGUCUGGCUAGAGUCCGGAAGAGGAGAAUGGAAUUCCUGGUGUAGCGGUGAAAUGCGCAGAUAUCAGGAGGAACACCGGUGGCGAAGGCGGAUCUCUGGGCCAUUACUGACGCUGAGGAGCGAAAGCGUGGGGAGCGAACAGG